rnacentral:lncRNA from 1 species
AGAAUAGUUAUUUCUGGGCAGAAACUAACAACUGUUUUAAUCAUAGCCGAGAGUCCAAUUGAAUAGAAAAUAUAUCUGAAACCGUAAAGACAAGAUCAAAGUACGAUGGUGGCCACAAGUUAUACAACUCGUAUCCUGGUUAUAGAAUCAAUACCUAUUUUUGUUCUAUUAAUAUUUGCAUUGGAUAAUUGAUGUAUCAUCAUAAAGGGAACUUCAGAAUGUAACCGUAAAUCAUAGUUAUAUCCAAGACAAUAUUAGGUGUUUCUCAAAUCCCAAAUCUUGAUGCCCCCAUUUGCUUCAUUAUUACAAUCUGCAUGGCAGCCUCGUUGAUAUACUCAUUCGAACAAAAACAGAUCUAACCACCUGUUUCCAAGCUUCCAGAUUUCGAGCAUCUCCGUUAACCUGAAAGGUUUCUUGAUUGUUUUCCUCCAUCUAGAUGCAGCUGAACUAAAGAACUGCUAAUCCAAGUAAUUCCGUCUUUGCUUUAGAGUGUCAACUGAUUCAGACUGAACGGAUGACAUUAGUUGCGUAAUGCCACAUAAACAUGACAAAACCAAAUUUUUUCUUCCCCUGCAGCAACAACACAUUGUAGAACCAAUCAGAGAUUUAAAUGAUUCCCCAAUUAAAAAGUGUUGUUAGGUGUUCAUAAGUUAUGAUUGACGCCACCUCUAGUAUGAGUCCGAAGAAUUCAUCUUGGAGUUCUACACUAGAAAUGUAGCUAAUAUGAGUAUAACAUCAGCACCAAGUCCAGAAACAAUUCUUUAAAUCAAAGUUCCAUUACAGCAUUUUCAGUCCAGCUUAACAAAUACAUUACAGUAGCUCAACCAUAUAUACUCACCAGUGGAAGAUAACUCUAGCUGAAAUUCUAUUGAUUGAGAUGAUCUCCAUUUACACCCCUUCACAUCCAUCUUAAGCAGUAACAGGUCAGGCCAACAGGACCCACACCUCUUUUCCAAGUCGGUAUAAGCUAUGACCUUCUAAAAUCAUCAAGCCUACCAACACGAAAGUACUACUACCUCUGUUUCAAUUUAGUCGAACACUUUCCUUAUAUCUGUUCCAAAAAGAAUGACACAUUUCUCUGCCAAUAUGCCAAUAUGCCAAGUGCAUACUUAUAAUGGAAUAGUAAACAGGCUUUAACAAAGUCAAAAUUUGUGGAAAGUGUCCAGGAAAACGAAUUGCUUGCCAAUGCAGCAACUAUUACAUCAUGACCAAGGAACUGAAAACUAAGUCAAAUAUUGCCAACAACAACAACAACAACAACUACCCAGUAUAUUCCCACCAGGUGGGGUCUGGGGAGGGUN